UGAAAAGAUUUAAUAUCUAUGAUGAUAUGAAGUAUCCUAAUGAUGUGACUUAUGUGUAUGGAGUGGAUAUCACGUCAUCUAUCCGUUGAUCACAUAUGUCAGUCAUCACAUAACUUUUUUUUCCAUUGACUUCCUCUCUUCUCACCAGAAUUUGUCACUUGGUGCAAAUCUAACGGUCCCUAUUUUCUAUAAAUAGGGACCCUCCCUUCGCCAUUUCCUCAUCACUUCCAUUCCAUUCUUCCAUCCUCCAAGAGCUUAGAGAGGGAUGGAGUGAUCUAAAGAGAAAGGGGGAGG
rnacentral:lncRNA from 1 species